GCUUUCGUUUUUGAGAUAUAAGCCAAAACUGCAUUUUGACCCCUAUGUUCUAUUUUAAGUAACGGCGGCCAUGUUUUUUGACGGAUCAAAAAUCAAAGCACACACUUUGUGCAGGAUAAUCUAAGGAACAACCAUGCUAAGUUUUAACCAAAUCCAUUCAGUAGUCUCAGAGGAGAAGAUUUUUUAAAGUUAGCAAAUAUGAUGAACAAAUUGUGAAAAAUUGUCAUUAAAGGAC
rnacentral:lncRNA from 1 species